rnacentral:miRNA from 10 species
UGGGUAAUGUUGUGCUCCUCCUG